UUGCAGCGCAUCGCCUCCGAUCUCCGCACUCCGCUCGCCUUGCUCCUCCCCUCUCCCUCCUCGCAAUCGCGCGUGUGCUGAACCAAACACUGGUGGAGAACCUGCUCUCCGCCAUGGAGGGAGGCCCCUCAGAUCCGCCCUCUGCUCCACCUCCUGCUCCGCUCAGGCGAGGGUGAGGGCGCGGCACCGGUAUCCUCGGCGCUCAGGCCACUAUGGCCGACAUCUAGAGCCCUCAGAGUACAAUCCCUUCACCAAUCUCCUCUUUCCUGUUGCUCCAUGCCCUCAUCCCUCCAAGUUUCAGAAUCCCACAUUUCGAUGCGCGAGGUCUACAACGGCACGCUAGCCGGCCACAUACAGGGGCAAGCGGCAGCACUGGUUGGCGCCCACAAGAUCUGGUCCCUUGACCUUCGUGCCAUCUUCACUGGUCCUAGCAGCUCACGCCGGUGGCCUAGCGGCUUGUUUAUUGUUGCCUUUGCAGGUUGCUUAUGUCGGCUGUCUGCAUAUCAUCUGAUCUGUUGCUUCUUUGACUUACAGUGCUUCAUUCCGGUUUCAGCGGUAGCAGCUCUUGCCUCUGUUCAGGAACUGCCACAAACUAACCUUGGGUUCAGGGUGCCAAAUUGAAUAGCUGCCGCAGGGCUUGCACGGGUCCUGGAGAAGCUUGGGAUAUAUUGCGACGUUGAGCAGCAGUGAACGGAGGAUCAUUCAAGCACCACACUAAAUUACGUGAAUGCAUGAAGAUUACAAUGGGAAUAUGGUAGGAGACUAGGUAUCUAAGUUAGUGGCCGUAAAGCAUGCAGGUAACUGUUAAUGAAUAGGUGCUGCGAGAUGUAAAUGAAAUGUGGACUGUGAGAAUAGGUUCUACCCUGAUGUAUAAAUGAAAUGUGGAUUGUGAUAAUGACCUUGACCGCAAGAAAGCAUAUCUUUUCUCCAACUCAAAUUAGCUGUUAUUGGCCACUUUUGUUGACAGUUUUAGAAACCAGUUUGAUUAUCAAUGAUUCAAUAUUAUGUACA